CAACCACUAUUUCCUGCUCUGGGUCAGGGCGUGCACCCGCUCUCCCCGUAACCCCGCGGUCGCUUCGCGUCAUCUACCAGCGUGCUUUGGCCUCGGUCCCGGAGCCUCCUUGGGACGUCGCUCCUCCCAUCACGCUCCGGAGGUGCUCUGAGCACGUCUUUCAUCUCUGGCUUCUGCGCAGACUCCCUGCCUCCCGGGGCCAGAGCCGUGUCCCCGGACUCGAAGCCCUGGGCGGCUGGUUCGGAGCUGGGUUGUCUCUCGUCUCAGUCAUCUGGGUUCUCACUCCCUUCAGCCCUGGCCUCCACCCCUGCUGUCUCAUUAAAAAAACCCUGUCUCUCGUAAAAAGUGCUCCCCACUGCAACGAGCCUCUAAAACAGCCAGGCGCCUUUUCGAGCUCAGUUUCAGUGCACGAGGCUUGGACGGAUGAAUCUGGAGUUUUGCAAACGUGUUUGUUUAAUGCGGGUUUGAAGUGUUUAACAUUUCUGUCAUAAAAGGCGGUAGAAAAGUGAUCAGAAAUGUAUCUGUAUCUUUUAGAUUUCGUGAGCUGAUGUCACGGGCACUGAAAUGUGUUGGUGCUGGGGCACUGCCCCAUUUGGGUACAAGUCCAUUUUUCUUCAUUUUUUUGGUACUAGCUGUUUUUGUUUUUUUUUUUAAGGAAAAUUGUAAUUGACAUUAGGACACACGUACAGAAAAGUGAGCAGAUCCUAAGUACUGGGCAUAGAAUGCACACAGCCUGUAACCAGCACCCCCAUCAAGCAAAGGAGCAGAACACACCAGACCCCGUUCCAGAAUAUGCCAUGGGCUUCUCUCCUGUUACGGACCGCCCUUCCGAGGGUAACCACUCUUUUGACUGCUAAAAUUACAGAUGCGUUUUGCCUACGUUUCAGCUUUAUAUAAAUGGAAUCACACAGUGUGUUUGUUCUCUUGUGUGUUUGGCCUCGUCCCCUCGUCAUCGUGGCCGUGACGUCCAUCCGUGCUGUGUGCCCUCGUGGUUUUCCAUCCUGGCGGCCGGGCGGUCUUCCGUGUUAUUAACAGCACACAGUUAGCAUCCGUGGUUUGGUUGUUAAAUGUUUGGAAAGUGUGCAGAUUUUGGCUGUUUCAGACGGUGCUCCUAUGAAUAUGUGUGAGUGAAUGUAUGCACAGACACACCUGUGUCUUUAUGUAUGUAUGCAUGCCUGAUUGGGGGGUGUGUGUGUGUUUCUGUUGGUUCUGUCCCUGGGACUGGAACUGCUAGAUCGUAGUUUUAGCAGAGAGCGCCAUAGCAGCAGUACCGGUUGCACUUCCACGAGCGAAUCAGGAAAAGCUCUGGUUGCGCCAUGCCUUUGCCAGCGUUUGCCGCUACCUUCUUUCUUCAUUGGACUCAUUCUCACGGGUAUGAAGUAAACCCUGUGCUAUGAUCUGCCUUUGCCUUUCCACGAUCCUGGCUGUUUGGGUAUCCUCUUUUGUGAAGUGCCUGCUCAAGACUUUCACUCAUUUUUCUCUGGGACUGCCUGUCUUUUUUCUUAAUGGUUUGUAGAUAGCGCUUCCUAUAUUGUUAACUCUAUGCAUGCCACAGAUUUUUUUUUUUCCCUUCCACAGCUUUUGGUGUCCAUACCGUUAGUGAUGCCCCUGAGAUUUUGGUAAAAUCCACAUAAAAGCAUUGGGAAUACAUACAGUACUUUGCACAGAGGGCUUUUAUUCUUCGGAAGCGACGUCAAAGGCAGGGCUACCUUCUAUCGCUCCUUGUGUAUCAAGGCACUAUUGGGGUAUCGGGUGUGGAGGGGGAGACAGGGACUCUUGACAUUCUUGGUGUGUUUAGGUGCUGGCACCUUUGAAGUUGCAUAAAAAUAAAACCUGUUCAUAUCCAGGUUCUUGCCACGUGCCACAUACUGUUCGAGCUUUUGCAUGGACGGUCUCAUCUAUUCCUCAUACACGCUUAUCAAUCAGUCACUGCUAUUAACCCGCAUUUUCAAGCGAGGAAACCGAGUCUCAGAGAGGUUUUGUUCUCACCAAAGGUGACGUAACUGGGACUUUGACUGCAGAGCUCGUGCUCUGUAAUCAGUUGUACUGCCUAGAAAAUUGCAGUUCGUAAAUCGGUAUUUUAUUAGAAUGCCUGGAAUGGUGCCUGGCGCAUAGUAGGUGCUCAGUUAAUACCUCUCAGAUGAAAGGGUUUGACAGUGACGAGUUGGAUGACAUCGUUUUUGAGUCGGGAAGCUUGUUCUGGCGAUGGGCUGUGUUGUUGGCAGAAGCAGCCGUGCUGCAUCCUGCUUUGUCUCUUGCCCAGAGCAGUGCCUGCCACAGGUAGACACCACGGUGGACAUUUGGGGAGUGAAUGACUCCAUCACAGGUGUAAACCUUGCUGGCAAAAGGGAUGCCUUCAGAGGAUGCUGCAGAGCCCAGGGCCAAGACGGGCACGUGAGUAGGGACCCUGGAGAAUGCGGAGUCCAGCUCGCAGCAUCGUGGUCGCACAGCCACGGGCAGCUCGGUUUGUGGAAGCAGGACAGGGUCCAGUGGCAGCAGGCAGGGCUGUCCCAGUUACAGGCAGUCAGGUCAGAAGAGGUCCCAGCAGCCAUGCAGGGCUGGCAGGAUUCAAGGUCAGGUAAUCCGGAGUCACAAGGUUGCAAGCAGUAAAAGUUCAGGCAGGCAGGAAAGAGAGCCAGGGAGUGCUUGCAGGGAGCCAUCGCCCCGGCCGGCCAGCUUCCUCCUCAAAGAGGCCUUUCUUCUCCGGCCGCUGAGGGCCUGCGAGGAAUACGCCAGACCUCGGGCCAGGCUGGGUGGGGUGAGCCAGAGAGCAGCCUGUGCUGGAGCCAGAAGGAGCCGUCCUGAACAUCGCGUCAAACUCCUCAUUGAACGGGCGAGGAAAUGAAAGCUUAAGUGUGAGGUUCCUCGGAGCCAGGGGCAGGGCCAGCCUUGGAACCAGGCUCUGCAGACAGUUUCCUGCCUCCGCAUGUUUUCCAUCACAAAUGGAGGGAUGCUGGGAAGGAGGAGGGACCUGAAGCCUUGAAGAAGAAGGACGGAGAGCCCCUGGAUGUGGGGGGAGAAGGAGGGAUCAAGGGACAGUGGUACGAGGCCUGGGGGGAUGGCGGUUCCGGUGACAGGACAGCGGGAAGGAAGCUGCCUGGGUAAUGACUGCAGUCUCGAGUCCACAAUGAAAGUUCCAGGAAGACCGAGCCUUUUUCAUUGUUACUGAGGCAUAACGUGCAGAAAAGCACACAGAGAGCAAGGACUUCCCCCCACACCUUUUUUUUUUUUUUUUUUUUUUUUUUUUUUUUUGCUGUGGCAAAUAUGUGUAGUAUAAAAUUUACCAUCUUAACCAUUUUUAAGUAUGUGGUUCGUUGGUUUUAAGUACCUUCAUAUUCUUGUGCAACCAUCAUGACCGUCCAUCUUCAGAAUUCUUUUCACCUUGAAGAACGGAAACUGUACCCACUACAGAAGAAUUCCCCACCUUCCCCUUCCAGUCCCUGGCAUACACCUGUCUGCUUUCUCCUACUCGAGGCACUCGAUCAAAGUAGAGGCACACAACCUUUGCCUUUUGCAGCUGGCUUCCUUCACUUAACAUGAUGUCAUUAGGUUUUUCCAUGCUAGAGCGUGGGUCAGAAUUUCCUUCCUCUAGAGCCGGGAUACCUCCCCCGUUGUGUGGAUGUACCACAUCUCAUUUAUCCUUUCAUUUGUCAUGUCUACUGAUGGACACUUGAGGCAAGCACUUCCAUAUGGUUUGCUUACUAAGGCUAGAGUAAAUCUUGGCCCUACUAUGUGCUCAACAAAUAAUGGUUGAAUGAGUUUUAAUUUUUGUGAACAUAAACGGACAGUGGGCUCCCCAGAUGGGCUAUCCAACAGGUGUUCCAGGCUGUCUCAGGACCACAGGUGAGGUGAGGGAUGAAGGCAGCGAUGAGAAGGUACUCCCAGGGCACGGGGGCUGGGAGAUGGGAGCCCAGGCCCAGGCGCAGCACAGGUGGGAGCAGAGCCAUGAAAGAGCAGGAAAGGGGUCUCGGGAAAGUGCCAAGUGCCAUGGACUUAAAAACGGGAGAGGGCUUUUUACGAGGGGUGCCACCCAAGUCAGGAAGGAUAGGGUCUGAGGAAGGAACACGAAUUGGCAAGUACUGAUGGAGACAAGGCAAACUCAGCUCUGUCUGACGUCAUUGUUGACCUUGGAAAAAGGUUUCUAUAGCGCGGUGGUAGAAGCACAGGCCAGAACAUGAGAUCAGGGAAGCACACCUGAAACAGCCAGAGCUAUUUUUCUUUCUUUCUUUCUUUUUUUUUUUUCUUUUUGUCCUUUUAGGGCCACACCUGAGGCACAUGGAGGCUCCUAGGUUGGGGGUUGAAUCAGAGCUGCAGCCGCUGGCCUAUGCCACAGUCACACCAGAUCCAAGCCAUGUCUGCGACCUACACCACAGCUCAUGGCAACACCGGAUCCUUAACCCACUGAGCAAGGCCGUGGAUCGAACCUGCGUCCUCAUGGAUACUAGUCAGAUUCGUUUCUGUUGUGCCACAGUGAGGACUCCAGCCAGAGCUGUUCAGUGCCAGGCUCUGGGUGAGGCACUAGGACUUGCAGCAGGUGCAGCAGCAGCAGCAACAGAGAAGGAUGCAUGAAGCACAGACUCCGUGGACGUCUUAAACUUGAGCGGGGCCUUGAAAUACGGUUGGGGUCUGAAUAUGGAACAGUGCAGAGAAGAGGGACGGGCACCCCACAUGGAUGAGCAGUGAGAAAAAGAGCUUGGUGGAAAGAAUGGGGGCGCGCCUGCGGACGGCAAGGAAGCCGGGUCCAGGAGGCAGAGGACGUGCGGGGAAGGCGGAAGAUGUGGUUGACUGAGAGGUGGCCAUGGGAAGCUCGAGUGAACCACAUCGAAGCCCUCCGUCUAGCGUCGCUUUGCAGUCGUGUGUGUGAUUACUGUCCACCCAUCCCUAGGGCCACCCCGCUACCCUGUGAGCACAGGGGCAUAUGUUUUAUCAUGGACACUGGUAUGUGUAAAGACUUGCGUGUGCCAGACACACCUGGCUCAAAUGGGAGUGCAGCUCUUCCUCAGUUUUGUGUAAUUGCUGGUCACUGAGCUCCAGCGGAGAGCCAUGCCUGGCACUCUGAGACUGACACGCUACCUGCUGUGCUAACAAGGCACCUCAAUGCCUGGCACUAGAUGCUGGAGCGUGAGGACAAACAGGUUGAGAUCUAAAAAGUAAGACUUGGACCGGGGCUGUCCUUAGACUCACCUGAGUCCUUCAGACCUUCCUUCCUGCAGAACCUGGGGAGAUGUUGGGCUGAAGACUGAGGAUGCAGACACCGCGUCUGCCAUCUUCGUCCCAGCAGCUUCCACGCCAAUGCUGAGCUGCCAGUGUUCUGCCUUGGGGCCAGACGAAAGGCCGUGUUCUCAUCCAGUGCCCCCUCUGAAAAAGCAGUUUGGUACCUUCUUAUAUACACCCACAAGGCUGGCCCCAGAUUGCAAGAAAUAUUCAGAAGUGGUUUUCAAUGAUAACAUCCAGCUAACUCCUCUAAACCCAGGAGGCCUGGAGGCUGUUUAUCUCAAGGAAGAUGCCUGGAGCCUUCCCCCCGGACAUAAAUGGAGGAUCCCAGAACGUGUGAACAUGCAUCCUCUGACUGGGUACCGGUCAGCUGUCCCCCCGCCCCCACCACCAGGCACAGGAACCAAGGCAGAGGGCGGGAGGCAGGAGAGGCCAAAGUCCUUACCUGCUUCUGAGCCCAGGUUUUCCUGGCAGAGCUGGGAAGCGGGAAGUAUCUCCCUACCUGCCUCUAGCCCUGAGAUGCUGAGAAGGAAGCCAGGACCCCGAGGGAGGCUUUGGAUCUCUGCAGGACUGUGCCUGUGCCAUCUCUGGCACCAGUCUUUACUGAGCCCCCAGCAGGUUACCGUAGCAUCCAGUCUGGUCUGGCCUGGCACCUAAGAGAUUGGGUUUUAAAACGAGGGCCUAUCUACAAAAAAUAAAGUAAUAGUGACAGCUAAAUUUAUCAAGUAUUUACUCUGUUCCAGGUGUGGUGCUAAGUGUUUGCUUUGCAUUCGCUCAUUUAAGCCUCCCCGUGACUCUGGAAUAAUUGUGGGAUUGUUUGACAGCUGAGGAAACUGAGUCACAGAGAGACAUGGUCUCUUUCUGAAAUCACUCGGCCAGUAACAGGUGGAAGUGGACAUUGAACCCGUCUGCCUCCAGAGCUUGUACGCCUCAGGGAAGUCGGCCCCGGGGGGUGUGUAGGAGCCACCAGAGGUCAGAGCAGAGAGGUCAGCUGCUGACCAGCCGGACUCUGAGAUCCGGUUUCUCGCUGUUGGAGCCGGCUGCCCCCACUGCUUCAGGGAGGGGACUGCUGCCCUGCUGUAUGAGCCACCUUUGCCAGGAGGAUUAGCUUCUUCCUCGUGUCAAAACAAGCCAAGCAGGAAAAAAAUCAACAACCAACUCCCGACUUCCAGCAGCAAGAGCCCUGCAUCCUGUCCAGCAGGAGGGAGCUCUCCGCUGCGGAGGGGGUCGACUGUCCUAGACCACGUCCUGGUUGUGGGCGUGUGCCGAGAGGGACCCCGAGACCCCCGGGUUUCCAGGUCGGGGCCCCGAGGCCCUGCCAGUGCACAGUCCCUGGCAGCAGCCCUUCUCCUCUGCUCCCCAUCCAGCCCUGUGACGUCUGCUGAUAUCCCGUCCUGCCACGGGCUUGCUCUGCGUCCACGGCGAGCCCAGUGACCGUUUGCAGGGUAAGGACAUUGGAUGUGAGCAGUGGUUUUCAAAACAAAAUGUUUCUUUGUUGCAAAGGAACAUGUUCUUCAGAUGAAACAACUUCUGCUAGAAUAGCAAACAGUCUAAAGCAGAGGUGUCAGUUUUCGUAAAAAUAAACAAGGGCCAAAAACCUUGGGUCAGUCAAAAUUCUCUGCAAAUGGUUCCCUGAGCCUGACUGGAUCUCCUUUUCCCAUUCCUGCCCCCUUUGGUGGCCUUUGCACCUUCUGGCUUGAUUGGAAGUUGUGGAUUCUUCGGAGCCCCCUCAGCUUCCUCCAUGGAGCCUCAGUGCGUCGUGGUUCCAGCUGCAUUUAUUAACCAUUUUAAUCGUUGGGCUCCCCCGAACUGCCUGGUGGUAGCUUCAGAGAAUGUGUGUGUAUAUUUGCAUACACAUGGUAUUUGCAUAGAUGAUGUAUGCAGACAGCAUAUAUUUGCAUAUGCAUUUAUGUAUAUGUGUGUAUCCGUGGGAACAUAUGUGCGUAUGCAUGUGCGUGUCACAUACGGAGAGAGCCUUUGGAGAGAGGCCAUGUCUUUGUGUCCCUCAGCACCUGGUCAGCAGUAGGCCCGCAGGAGCGUUUCGAUCGCGGGGGUCUUCUGCGUCCUCAGAACAUCUUCUUGCCCAUGUCAGGUGCUCAGUAAAUACUAGCGUCGAAUGAUUGGGUGACUUGGCAGGUCAUACCUGGAAAGUCUUGGCUAUCAAUCUUGGGUCUUGCCAUGUACUUGCUGUAAAAUCGGGGUAAAUAUUCAUCACUUGUCUUAACCAUCGGGUGGGGAUGACAGCGCAUGCCUGCCGCAACUGCUGAUGGAAUGCCUGCCACAGUCCAGGCACGCCUCUCAGCAGUUUACAAAGCAGACAGAGGUCCUUGUCCUCAUGGAGCUCACAUUUCAGCCAGAUUCGAGAAGAGCCCCUCUCCCGCCCCCGACCCCGAGUUGCUGGGAGAAGAGGAGGAGGAAAGGGUCCCUCCUGCUUGGUCAGAGGCAGAGCCACAACCUGGGUUGGGACUGCCACAGGAUGGAGGGGCGCUGGUGGCCUGUGUGGGACGCAGGACUCUCAGUGCGGAGUUUACGCCAUGAGAGAAGAGGAGGAGGAAAUGCCAUCGGGGCUGAGCUGGAAGGGUAGCAAGUCUCUCUGCCUCCCCAGGCACCUGCUCUGACUGACCCUGAGGCUGUGCCCCCCGCCCCCAGUCAGCACCACGUGGAGCUGCCCUCGUCUGAGGGCUGCAGCCCCAGAGCCCUGCUGCCUCCAUGCCUCUCUUUUCUAGUGGCAUCUCUUUUACCCAUUUCCAGGGCAUCGCUCUGGGAAAUAGAGAGAGGAGGCUUUGGCCCUGGUCACCUCUGGCUGCCCUGCUGGCCCUCGGAGCCGCAUGUUCAUGGAGGUUUGUCCCUCACCGAGGAUGAUUUCGAGUGAGUUUUACUUGAUCUUGGCUCUGCUUUAGUGCCCUCGUCUAUAAGGUGGGACUGGUAAUAAUUGCACUUACCUCAUGGAGUUAUUGAAAGGAUUAAAUGAGCCUGUAAAGUGCUUAAAAUAGUAUCUGGCUCAGAGUAAGUGCUCUGUCUGUUCAUGCUGGAUGGCUGGACGCAUUUGUGUAGUGGCGGUGGGCCUGUCUGCUUGGCCCUGUGACCACGAGCUCGCCGUGGGCAGGACACAUCCCACAUGUCCCUAUAGUCUCAGCGCCUAGCCCAGUGUCUGGCACACGGUAGGCAUGCUGCAAAUACACGUUAUGAGAACAGUGACCACUCUGGAACUUUCACAUGCCACAGGUGUGGCCAAAAAAAAAAAAAAAAAAAA
rnacentral:lncRNA from 1 species